UGAGCAGGUUGCAAUUCCAGCGCUUCUAAAUUGCGGGAGUGCUGACAUUACCCUGCUAAAAACAAAUCUGUGUUGAUCCUUUUUGAUUUUACCUGUGUACAGGGGUAAAGUCACCACUGGUUAGCACAAACAGUU